CGGAGACGCGCCAUUGUUACUUCGGGACACCUGGGGGCCGCGUAAGGACAGUCUUGGAAAAUGCUACCUAAAAUGGAGUCCCCGUGGUCAGAGAGACACAUUCGAGGAACCUAAGAUCAUCAAGAGGCUGCGGCUGAGCUGUGGCCUAGCCACUUGCCGCUGUGACCCCCACUGACCAAUCAGCUGUGGACUCCUGGACUUUGUUGAUCGCCUGCACCAACCAGCCCGGCUUUGCCUUCUUUGACUCAAGCCCUUUGUUCUCUUUCCCACACACACUGUUAGUUUUAUUCGAAUCUUUGUAUUCCGAAUUGCAGCUUCUAAGACCCUAAAGAAAGCUGUCUUGGUUUUUUUCAGCCUCGAUAUUGAUAACUGGUUAUUCUUGUAGCAUUUUCUAAGGUUAUUAAAACAUGUUCUGCAGGUAGCUAGCUUGUAAAGCUAAGCGGGACAACGUCAUGGUCAUCAGCGGUCACACAGUGCCCUCUGGUGGCUCCGUGAGAAAACGACACGCAGGCUCCAGGACACCAUGAUUGAGCUCAGGACCUUGUAUUCGAGAGACAAGCGCGGUGCCACUGAGCUAAAUCCCUGGCCCUUCCACAAUGUUACCUCAAUAAAUUUUGGAAUUUGAAAUGGACAAAGUAUUUGAAAGAAGAACAAAAAGAAAGGAUUACAGUAAUGAUUGGUGCCUGGCUCUCAUCGCUUUGCAAAGUUAUGAUUUUAAAGGCUUCAUUUUCUAACAUCGAUUUAUUAAAAAUCUACUUAGAAGAUUAGAAGAUAAGACUUUUGACUCUUUAUUCUACUUGUAUCAGUCCUUUUCUUGAGGGCAGAACUUACAGAAACCUAUAGUUUUGUGUGGAAGAUUUGACCAGGUCUGGGGGAUCAUGUGCUGGUGAUGAAGUAAUAGAUUGAAGAAAAU
rnacentral:lncRNA from 1 species